rnacentral:rRNA from 1 species
CACGUAGGGGCGAGCGUUGUCCGGAAUCACUGGGCGUAAAGGGCGUGUAGGCGGCUGAUUAAGUCAGUUGUAAAAGGCUGCGGCUUAACCGCAGAAGUGCAAUUGAAACUGGUCAGCUUGAGGGCAAGAGAGGAAAGCGGAAUUCCUAGUGUAGCGGUGAAAUGCGUAGAUAUUCGGAGGAACACCAGUGGCGAAGGCGGCUUACUGGACUCUAACUGACGCUGAGGCUCGAAAGCGUGGGGAGCAAACAGGAUUAGAUACCCGCGUA